CUACGCCUACGGGACGCAGCAGUAGGGAAUCUUCCACAACGGACGAAAGUCUGAUGGAGCAACGCCGCGUGAGUGAAGAAGGGUUUCGGCUCGUAAAGCUCUGUUGGUAGUGAAGAAAGAUAGAGGUAGUAACUGGCCUUUAUUUGACGGUAAUUACUUAGAAAGUCACGGCUAACUACGUGCCAGCAGCCGCGGUAAUACGUAGGUGGCAAGCGUUGUCCGGAUUUAUUGGGCGUAAAG
rnacentral:rRNA from 1 species